UAGGGAAUAUUGCGCAAUGAACGAAAGUUUGACGCAGCGACGCCGCGUGAGGGAAGAAGGUUUUCGGAUCGUAAACCUCUGUCAAGGGGGGAAGAAGUGUAUGCGCUCUAACAUAGCGUGUAUUUGACGGUACCUCUGAAGGAAGCACCGGCUAACUCCGUGCCAGCAGCCGCGGUAAUACGGAGGGUGCGAGCGUUAAUCGGAAUUACUGGGCGUAAAGCGCGCGUAGGCGGAAGCCUAAGUCAGGAGUGAAAUCCCCGGGCUUAACUUGGGAAUAGCUUUUGAUACUGGGUUUCUUGAGUUCAGGAGAGGGUGGCGGAAUUCCAGGUGUAGGAGUGAAAUCCGUAGAGAUCUGGAGGAACAUCAGUGGCGAAGGCGGCCACCUGGACUGAUACUGACGCUGAGGUGCGAAAGCGUGGGUAGCAAACAGGAUUAGAUACC
rnacentral:rRNA from 1 species